rnacentral:tRNA from 2 species
GCCUGGAUAGCUCAGUCGGCAGAGCGCAUUCUUGGUAAGAAUGAGGUCUCGGGUUCGAUUCCCGAUCCAGGCU